UACGAAGGAGGCUAGCGUUGCUCGGAAUGACUGGGCGUAAAGGGCGCGUAGGCGGAUGGCACAGUCAGAUGUGAAAUUCCCGGGCUUAACCUGGGGGCUGCAUUUGAUACGUGUUGUCUUGAGUUCGGAAGAGGGUCGUGGAAUUCCCAGUGUAGAGGUGAAAUUCGUAGAUAUUGGGAAGAACACCGGUGGCGAAGGCGGCGACCUGGUCCGACACUGACGCUGAGGCGCGAAAGCGUGGGGAGCAAACAGG
rnacentral:rRNA from 1 species